rnacentral:rRNA from 1 species
GAUGAACGCUGGCGGCGUGCUUAACACAUGCAAGUCGAGCGAACAGACGAGGAGCUUGCUCCUCUGACGUUAGCGGCGGACGGGUGAGUAACACGUGGAUAACCUACCUAUAAGACUGGGAUAACUUCGGGAAACCGGAGCUAAUACCGGAUAAUAUCUUGAACCGCAUGGUUCAAUAGUGAAAGACGGUUUUGCUGUCACUUAUAGAUGGAUCCGCGCCGCAUUAGCUAGUUGGUAAGGUCACGGCUUACCAAGGCAACGAUGCGUAGCCGACCUGAGAGGGUGAUCGGCCACACUGGAACGGAGACACGGUCCAGACUCCUACGGGAGGCAGCCGUAGGGAAUCGUCCGCAAUGGGCGAAAGCCUGACGGAGCAACGCCGCGUGAGUGAUGAAGGUCUUCGGAUCGUAAAACUCUGUUAUUAGGGAAGAACAAAUGUGUAAGUAACUAUGCACGUCUUGACGGUACCUGAUCAGAAAGCCACGGCUAACUACGUG